rnacentral:rRNA from 1 species
UGUGAACGUUAAAAAUAAGAAGUCGGGCCUGCCCGGUGAUGUGUAUACAUUAAACGGCUGCAACGAGAGUUGUACUAAGGUAGCGCGAUAAUUUGUCCUUUAAUUGGGGAAUGGUAUGAAUGGUUUGACGUGGAGUAACUGUUUCUGUAAAAUUGAAUGAAGUUUCCUUUUCAGUGAAAAGGCUGAAGUUUUUGUAAAAGACGAGAAGACCCUGUCGAGCUUGAUUAGAGUUAAUUGUUUUUUAACAAUAGCUUGAAAUUUUAUUGGGGCAAUAUAAGACGAAAUAACGUUUUAGCGUUACGGCGAAGAUCCUUUUUGAAAGAAAACGGCAAAAGCUACCGCAGGGAUAACAGCGUUAUCCUUUUUGAGAGAUCGAAUUGAGGAAAGGGUUUGCGACCUCGAUGUUGGAUUAUGGAAACUUUAUGGUGCAGCAGCUAUAAGAAGUGAGAACGUUCU